UCCUAUCACUGUAUUCUGGUGCUACACUUCUCCUUGUUCCUCCAGUCAUCAAAUCCUCUCCCCUUCUCUUCUCUCAUGUCGUCCUACGAUCACGUCAUGUGACUCUCCUUCAAGCCACGCCUACUCUAAUUCGUCGAUUACCCUCGGACGUACUGAGGGAGGAGUUAUUGGGGGCGUGGUCAAGUCUCCGGGUACUAGCCUUUGGAGGAGAGUCUUGUCCAUCAGUGAAGACAUUAAGAGAAUGGAAAAGCAGCGAGAACAAAACCCGAUUGUUCAAUAUCUACGGUAUCACUGAAGUAUCCAGUUGGGCCUCUUGUCAUGAAAUAGACAUUCAUGACUCCGCCUACGAUAAACCCCACCCACUUGGAGUACCCAUCGGAGAACCACUACUGGGCACUCAAAUAGAACUGAGAGGAAACGAACAAAAGAGAGUAUUCAUCGGUGGAGAUUAUAGGGUGUGUUGCCUUGGCAAGGAAGAGUCCCUCGUCCAGGGUACCUUUCGGGACAGUGGAGACGAUGGUACGACUGACGAACAUGGACGCAUGUAUUU